GAAAGUAAGUAAGGGCGUAUGGGGGAUGCCUAGGCUCUUGGAGGCUAAGAAGGACGUGGUAAGCUGCGAAAAGCUGCGGGGAUUUGCAAACGAGACUCGAUCCGCAGAUAUCCGAAUGGGACAACCCGGCAGGUAGAAGACCUGUCACACCGCGAGGUGAGCUAACCCUCUGAACUGAAACAUCUAAGUAGGAGGAGGAAAAGAAAGAAACAUCGAUUUCCAAAGUAGCGGCGAGCGAAAUGGAAGAAGCCCAAACCGAUAUUGUUACGGCAAUAUCGGGGUUGUAGGACUGCAAUAUUCAAUUAACAAUGAACUGGAAUGGUCUGGAAAGUCCAUCCAUAGAGAGUGAAAGGCUCGUACAGGUAAGUUUGUUAUGCGAUAGCAGUAUCCUGAGUAUGGCGGGACACGAGGAAUCCUGUCAGAAUCAGCCGGGACCACCCGGUAAGGCUAAAUACUCCCAAGAGACCGAUAGUGGACCAGUACUGUGAAGGAAAGGUGAAAAGAACCCCGAACAGGGGAGUGAAAUAGAACCUGAAACCAUACGCUUACAACCGGUCGGAGCAGCUUCGUGCUGUGACGGCGUGCCUAUUGAAUAAUGAGCCUACGAGUUACUAAUCACUAGCGAGGUUAAGUGCAAGGAUGCACGGAGCCGAAGCGAAAGCGAGUCUGAACAGGGCGUUUAGUUAGUGGUUGUAGACGCGAAACCUUGCGAUCUACCCUUGAGCAGGUUGAAGGUUGGGUAAAACCAACUGGAGGACCGAACGAAUAAGCGUUGAAAAGCUUCUCGAUGACUUGAGGGUAGGGGUGAAAGGCUAAUCAAGCUGGGAAAUAGCUCGUACUCCCCGAAAUGCCUUUUGGGGCAGCGUUGUAAUAAAGAGUCUACUGGAGGUAGAGCUACUGAUUGGAUGCGGGGGCUUCACCGCCUACCAAAUCCUGACAAACUCCGAAUGCCAGUAGUAUGAUUUACAGCAGUGAGUGACUGGGUGCUAAUGUCCAGUCGCAAAAGAGGAACAACUCAGACCAGCAACUAAGGUCCCGAAGAAUAUGCUAAGUUGAUCUAACGAUGUUUUGUUGCAGAGACAGCUAGGAUGUUAGCUUGGAAGCAGCUAUUCAUUCAAAGAGUGCGUAACAGCUCACUAGUCGAGCGACAGAGCGUGGAUAAUAAACGGGCAUCAAGCAUAUCACCGAAGUUCUGGGCGCGAGAGCGCGGUAGGGGAGCAUUCCAUUCAGCGUCGAAGCAGUUUCGUGAGGAAUUGUGGAGCGUAUGGAAAAGCAAAUGUAGGCAUGAGUAACGAUAAUGCGGGAGAGUAACCCGCACACCGCAAGACCAAGGUUUCCUGAUCAACGCUAAUCGGAUCAGGGUUAGUCGGGUCCUAAGGGUAAGCCGAACGGCGAUCUCGAUGGAUAAUCGGUUAAUAUUCCGAUACUAACAUAUACCUCGAUGGAGAGACGAAGGAACGUAAGUGCCGCCACCUGACGGAAUAGGUGGUUAAAGGGCGUAGGUAUAGGGGCAGAUUAAGAGUUAGUCCUUGCUGAAACCUGACAGUACAGAGAGCCUACGGGCAAUUUGAUAGAGCACCCAAGUCGACUUCCGAGAAAAUCUUCUAAGUUAUAGUAUAUGUUACCCGUACCGUAAACCGACACAGGUGGUCGAGGAGAGUAUCCUAAGGUGCUCGAGUGAAUCACGGUUAAGGAACUAGGCAAAUUAACCCCGUAACUUCGGGAAAAGGGGUCCCUAUGAAAGUAGGGCGCAGCGAAGAGGUCCAGGCGACUGUUUAUCAAAAACACAGGGCUCUGCAAAUUCGAAAGAAGACGUAUAGGGCCUGACACCUGCCCGGUGCUGGAAGGUUAAGAGGGGAUGUCAUCGCAAGAGAAGCAUUGAAUCGAAGCCCCAGUAAACGGCGGCCGUAACUAUAACGGUCCUAAGGUAGCGAAAUUCCUUGUCGGGUAAGUUCCGACCUGCACGAAUGGUG
rnacentral:rRNA from 1 species